rnacentral:misc_RNA from 1 species
AAGUCGUAACAAGGUUUCCGUAGGUGAACCUGCGGAAGGAUCAUUAAAUAAUGCAACGUACGUGGCUUAGUUGCCAAUUGUCCUGAUAAUGAUGCGGGGGAGGAGGAAGGUCCCAGCGGGCUAGGUCCUGUCACAUUUAAAGUGUUAGUGGUAACUACUGCUAGCUUUAUGAUGCUGAAGUUCCUACGCCCCCUGGGGCCCUAGACAUUGAAAUUGCCGGGACAAUUGGCCCACAUGCGUGGCCGGGGACGCUUGCGUCCUGUCUGAACCCUUUGUUUAUGCGUACCUCUUAUUGCUUCCUCGGUGGGUGUGCUCACCGGUGGAUAGCCUAUUUAAACUCCGUUGCAGUUGCGGUUAACUUCUGAUGUGGGCAUAAAUUUAGUAACAACUUUCAACAACGGAUCUCUUGGUUCUG